rnacentral:piRNA from 1 species
UCCACAGAUAGAGCACUACAAAGGCGCCUCGU